UCCAGUUUUUUUCUUUUGACAAAUUUUAUAACCAAUAAUUCUUUUUUGUAAAUUCCAAUUAUAAUCAGUCCAAUGCGCAGUAACAGUUAAAUAAUCAAAACCAUUAGGACUACGACCCAUAUCAGUGGUAAUAGCAACUCUACAAUCCAUUAUUUCAAAAUAGGCACGCAAAUAUUGACAAUGUUUUUCUUGAAAUUCAAAAAUAUCUCUUUUUACCAUGCUUCUUGAUAAACCUUUAAAACUAGGAUUAUAUGUAUCACGAAUAUAUGCAAUAAAACCCGGAUGUUCUCCAAAACUAAAAGGUAAACCACAAACAACAACCAUUUUAGCAAAAUUUUCACGAUCACGAUCCUUAUUAUAGGUUCGAUGUGUAAGAGGACCACUUGGGUUCGAAGUAUUUAAUUCACCUUGAACCAUAUUUGACCCUCUAGCCGAUGUUUCAAUGAUAGAAUUUUCACAAACAUCAAGAGAAGAUAUAUAUGCAAACCACUCUUUACUAUGCUUAUUAAUCAAAUGUUUUUUUAAUCCCCCCGUUGAACCUCCACUCCCACCAGAUGUAUAUUUAAAAUGUUGUUUACAAAUAUUACAUAUACUAAAAGUUUUUUCUUCAUUCAAAUAACAAAAUUUCCACACAUGUGAUUUUAAAACACGUUGUACCUUGGUCUUACCUCUAGUUGGAACAAUAGGGGGACGACUAGUUCCAACCGAAGGAUUGUCCUCCUGAGGUGAAACUUCAGUACUAUUGAGGUCGGGACUAGUCGGUGUAUCAUCUAAAUCUUCUUCAUCAAUUUCUACUUCUUCAUUUUCUUGAUAAUUAUCAUAAUGUCUUUCAUAAACCUCUUCGGGAAUUAUAGGAGUAUCCGAAUUAAUUUCUAUAGGACCGGGACGAGAAAAACUAGUUUCAUUCACAUGAGUAAAUUCAUCAGUAUUCAUUCUAACAAGAGGAAAAUUAGAUUUAGAAGAACUAGAACCCUUCUUACUUUUUGUAAGCAUAUUUUUUACUCCGUGUACAAUACCUUUUUUACCUCCACUUUUUUUAGAAGACUCCGUGAUAUAAAAUUAUAAAUUAUGAACUACGAAAUUUAACAAGAACAAAUAAAAUAUAAC
rnacentral:lncRNA from 1 species